UGGCUGGAGCCCCUGGGAAGGCGGCGAUAAAGCAAACAGCUCCAAUAGAGCCACAGCCGGCAGUCAGUUUGAGCUUGACGGACGUCCCGCACAUCCGGUAGGUUGGAAAGCAGCGCGCGCUCUGGAUUGAUGGACAAGAGAACUACCCAAUGGGAUUGGAGCGAGGAAAUCCACGGGCGGGCCCAACCCCUCACCGGCCCCACGCAGGCCCAGUGCCCUGAGACCAGCGGCGGGGCGGGGCCUCCUCUUGGCUGCCUGAUGGACAGACCUGUUGACCAAUAAUAAUGCGGCAUUGCAGGCGGGAGGCGGGAAACUCACGUGACGGACAGGCUGGCGGACCAAUCAGACGUGGCAGGAAGAGGGGCCGAUUCUGGAAGCCAUUACGCCAGUGCCGCAGGGCGGGGGCCGUUGCGCGGGGCUGCCGGGCGGGCGCCGUACGCAAUUUGCGUAUCGUUGGCGGUGCCAAAGGGGGAGCGGGGGGGACCGACCCCUCCGGGCCCUGAGGGGCCUCGGGGCCCCCCUGUUGUCCCCGGCCCCGGGGGUGGGGGGGCCCUGCCGCCCCUCGGCCCUGCCCAGCGUCCCCCCAGGCCCCUCAGGUGUGACCCCGUGCCCCGUCCCCGCUGCCCCCCAUGGCCAUGGCGUCGCCGCCGGCGCCCCCAGCCAAGAAGCGGAAGAUGAACUUCUCGGAGCGGGAGGUGGAGAUCAUCGUGGAGGAGCUGGAGCGGGGAAAGCACCUCCUCGUCAACCAUUUCAACGCGGGCGUGCCGCUGGCCGCCAAGGCCGCCGCCUGGCACGACAUCCUGCGCCGCGUCAACGCCGUCGCCACCUGCCACCGCGAGCUGCCCGAGGUCAAGAAGAAGUGGUCUGACCUCAAGACCGAGGUGCGGCGCAAAGUGGCCCAAGUGCGGGCUGCCAUGGAAGGGGGAGGCGAGAGCCAGAACGGCGGCGGCAACGGGCCCGAGGGCGAGGACCCGGCGGGCGCCGCGGCCGCCCCGGUGAUCCUCACCCCCAUGCAGCAGCGCAUCUGCAACCUGCUGGGAGAGGCCACCAUCAUCAGCCUGCCGAGCGGCGACUGCGGCGCGGGUGACGGGAGCGAGAUCCCCAUCACCGCCUCGGCCACCACGGUCACCCUGACCCAGAUUCCUGCAGAGACAACCUACCACAGUCUGGAGGACGGGGUAGUGGAGUACUGCACCACGGAGGCCCCCACCGCCGUCACUGCGGAGGCGCCCCUGGAGAUGAUGGCCCAUCAGCACGAGGUGUCUGCCAAGCCCCAGGAGCUGAAAAGCCGCAUCGCCCUGAACUCGGCCAAGCUCCUGCAGGAGCAGCGAGUAACCAACCUGCACGUCAAGGAGAUUGCCCAGCACCUGGAGCAGCAGAACGACUUGCUGCAGAUGAUUCGCCGCUCGCAGGAGGUGCAGGCGUGUGCCCAGGAGCGGCAGGCACAGGCCAUGGAGGGGACACAGGCAGCACUGAGUGCCCUCAUCCAGGUCCUCCGCCCCAUGAUUAAGGACUUCCGUCGAUUUUUGCAGAGCAAUACACCCAGCCCAUCGGUCACCACUGACCCUGGCCAGACAGGGCAGCAAGAUGCCUUUAACUGACUUCUAACGUGGAGAGUUCUGUCGGGAUACCAGUGCUGCAGCUGUACAAGGUACAGUGAUGUGAACCCACUGUGCACACAAUGAAUGCAUUUCUGGCUCUUGCUGAAAGCAUUUACUGGAAAUGUGGUACCGGAUGUGGUAGAACCUUCUCUCUGCACUGAGAGCUAUGGAUCGUGCUCCUGCAGCGUCACAUCCAGCCCGUGCAGACCAGCACCCAGCCUCUGUGCAGUUUAAGUCCCACCUACCUCCCCUGAGGAGCCCAGUGGAAUUGAAACAGUGCAUUCACCUCAUGUUUUAUCUGCGUGCAGUCAUGAAAUUUCUCUAUCAACUUGGCAGAUGUGAUGAAAGUUUCAUGUCUUGGGUACCAGAAACUCUCCUGGGAUACGUCUUGUCACAAUGCCUUUAUUUGUUGCUGCAUAAACACCCAAGGGCCUGGAUGAGUUUCCCUCGGGUGGAUGAAACGGUGGAACUCUAUCUCUGCCUCAUCUGCAUAGUUUGUCACUUCUAGAAUACCUUGAUCCAUCAAAGCAGACCUGGACUAAGGUCCUGGACUAAUCUGCAGCCACACAGGAAUUCCCAAUGUUCAGGAGUUUGUCAGCCACUGAUUUGAGUGAAUUUUGGGGCAUUACUUGGUUCUGCUGUUGGUGGUGUUUGUUUUGUACUGUUUGGGAGCGAGUCCAGCCAUUCCAUGUUUGUCUGCUGGCUGGCCUCAUCCUGAGAAACAGAGCUGAGGUUCUCCUCACUAUCCUGUACCGUUAUACAGGGUGAAACAACAUUACAGCCACUUCUGAGGCAUUCAGGCUAUGGGGCUUGGUCCUUAAUGAGAAAGUUUAAUUGCACAGGAUGGUCAACGUGAUUCUCACAGACUUGCAGUAACUUCAUAAACUUUUAGAUUAAACAUCCAGUUGUACAUGCAUGGAAGAAAACCUAGGGAAAGAAAAAAAAGAAGUGUAAGUCUUCUCCUUCUACCUUGCAAAGUGGCUUACAUUUAACAGGCUUGUUGCUUGCCAGGUUAUUACUUUUGAAAUGGAACUUGCUGUUAAGUCUCCGUUAGGGCUGACGAGGGAGUGAAUUUGCACAAUCAAAUGAAGCCUUUACACAGCCUUUAAUGGGGAGAUGCUGCUGGGGGACCCCUGGUUAGAGCAGUAGGUGAAGAGGUCACUGCUGUCAGUUCCUGGCCUUUACUCAUCUCCUCUUCUCUACAAAUCUGAUGGGGGAGAAAAGGACAACAGAGUGAGAAGGGUUUGGUCCCUGGAAGACUCCCAACCCCUUAGGACUGACACCUCCAAGCUGAGUCAGGAUGGGUCCUGCCUUGUCUGGCAUCUCACCACAUGAGUAGCACUUACCUGACUCUUCCUCUUAGACUUUGUAGAAUCAAAUCAAUUGCUGAAUUGAAAUUUAUUUUUAAGAGAUUUAUAUUCAACAUCCAGACUGGGAAGGAGCCAUGCAGAGAUGUUCUGCCACAGGGUGCCUCGGACAUGGGGGUGAGGAGCAUCUUCCUGCUUGCUGGGGAAAGAGCAGUUUGGUGGGGGACUCUCAGUGGUGAAAAGAAAAUGUUUGUGUCUAUGGAGACAGCACCAAGCUACCAGGAGCAGCGCUCCUGAGUGCAGCUGCAGCCCGGCUUUCCAGGAGAUGGCACUGCGCACCGGGAUCCCGAGCUGUGGCACUGCACCGUCCAAGGAACCACCUCGUCCUCCAGACCUUGUGGGAUCCUCUCUUUGCACCCUUCACUGGUGAAUCUUUUCAGGGCUGAGAGCCUGGAGAGGACGAAAUUCAAAGGGCAGAGUGCAGCAAUGAGAUAUCCCUGGAAAAGUCAUGAUGCCUAGGGACUCAAACCAAGUCCCUCUGCCCCCCACAGGCAUGGCAGAGGACACUGAGAUGUCUGUCUUUGGGAUGAGUUUACUGCAGAACUGCAGUGCAGAAAAAACUACAUCAAGUCCUUCAUUAUAAGCAAAGGGACAGGGUUUAAGGAUUUUUAGAAGGUCACACACGCAUCAGUAUCCCACAAGUACAAUGUGCUGCCAUCACUUCAUUGCAGUUCUGGGAGCAGAUCCCCACCAAGGGACAGAAUGAUAUCGCCUGCACACUCACCCAAAUAACCUCUAUUUCCUUCAGCAUGUUUUUAAAGUUUGUCAAGCCUGUUUUGGCAAAGCAUCCUUCUGGGGAUCUUUUAUGGGUUUUUUCCUGUUGUAGUGUGAAAGGUUGCCAGCAGGUACUGUCAGCAGAAGGGUGGUCAGAUCAGUGUGAAAAUUGAAGCAUUUAAGAUUCUUUAUCUUGCUUGAAAGUACCUGAUAAGAAGCAUCAUGAGACUGAGGAGCACAGCUUCCAGCCCAUGUUUUGAGUUCCAGAAUGAAGUCAGUAUCACCUGCAAAUGGGGCUCAUGAGCCCUUGGGUCCCAGAUGUGCAGGUAUUUAACCCGAGGCAGAAUCCCAGCGCCAGCAGGGGCAGUUUCUUUCACCUCUGCCACCUGGGAUCCCAAAUUAGAGGUUGCUGUGUCAAGGGGGAACCACAUGCUUACAGUUGCUUCUGAUGUAUUUGGGGUAGCAGUGGCAUUUGUGGAGUUGCAGUCAAUGGGACAGGCCACAGCCACAACCGGUAAGUCUCUUGUCCAGCACAACACUGAAGGGAUGGAAGCUCGGGUGCAGACACAGGAUAAGGCUUAAUAAACACAAUAAGCCUUGAGGCAAAACAGGUUCCAAGUCUGCAGAUUUUGGAAGGGGCAAACGAGAUCCAGUUCCACCCACAGACCUCCCAGAACGAAGCGGAGAGUCCUGCUGCACAUUCCCAGGACCCACUGAAGCAGACAUGGAAACCAGUAAACAAAAAAAGCCAGGCAGCUGGAUUUUCAGGUCUAGCCACAUAUUUGGGGAAAGGAAUCCACCAACACCAGAUUCCUUGGCUCCCUUUGUCAAAUAACAGCAUUCCCAGUGCUGGCAGGCCAGAAACCCACCAUGCAGGUGUGUCCUUUGCACAUCCAACAGGAAACCCAGUCUGGUGCAGAAAGUGAAACAGUUCCUGGCCUUUAUGAUGAUGAGUUCGGUUAAAUAUGGAACAAGUGAAAAACAUAAGCAGGUCAAAGUGCAGCUCACAGCCUGUUAUUAAGCUGAGAAGACGCAAGCUUGGAAUAACUCCACACCGCGGGAUAAUCCUAUGCAAUGGGGAUAGGCACCCAUUCCCCUCACAGGGAAUGCUACAGCUUACACUGCUGUGGUGUCUGCACCGCCUGCCACAUUUUGGGAGCUCCCCAGCCUGGACCUGCUCCUGGUUCAGGGGGAGGCACCCAACCACUUCAACUCCCACCCAUAGUUCCUUGGAGCAGGGCAUUGCAUUGCACCCACGGCUCCAAGAAUGCAUUUACAGCAUGAAGUGUUGUGUGAUAAUCUCUUUCUUUUGGAUGAUGAGGCUGAAAGCUCAUUAAGGCCAUUACAGCAGAGGCGACAGGUGUAACAGAGGAGAACCAUUACUGUGUUUAUGCUGUUACAGCAACGUGUGUAAUUUAGUUUUAAAACUUUAAUCAUCUGGCUGCCAGGACAAAUGAAUUAGCUUGAUGAUGCUUUCCAGAGGAAGAUGCUGAUGAUGUAGUUUGCAGGGCUCAUGCAUCUGGGAUUCCCCUGGGAUAAGAGAUAGGAUUUGAAGGCUCACCAAAUGCAUUACAGGAUCUACCUCACUUCACCUCACUAAUCUUUGUCCCUCCUGCAUUUCUCUAGCCUUGUUUCUCCACUGCUGCUUUAUCUCUGUCCUCAAAGCUGAGAGGAGGCAAGACAAGGCAUCUCUGUUGGUGCUCACUCUCAGGGCACAGCAGUCCCGGCCCUGGCCAGCCAGGCACACCUCUCCAGGAGAGCAGAGGUGAGCCCAGACUUAACUGCACAGCACAGACUGAUAAAAAUAUCCCAGACUGAUAAGACAAUGCCCUGAGCCAGCAAAAGUUGAGGAAGUGGUGACGACACUAGGGAGCAGCCUCAGGAAGGUCUUAGGUCAGGAAGAGCACAGGGCAGGGAUGUGGCUGAGGGUCAUGGAGGAGAGGUGAGGUGGGCACUGCUAUAGAGGAGAAAUCCAUAGGAUGUGAGUCUGGGAUGAGCAGAAUCCAUGUGUAUCAAAGCACCCUGGUCACACACACAUGGCCCCAUGGCCAACGGAUUGCACCUGGAGCAGAAACUAACAUAAAGCCAGAGGGAUGUUGGAUGGAUGAAGAUACCCUACACCACAUUCCCUCUGUGGGAGGCUUAGACUAGCCCAUCCCUUCUGUAAACAGGAGCACGGUCCCUUUAAAACAUGUGAAUUUCUCCAGAAACAAUUAUGCAGCAUAAACACAGCAAAAUCAACAGGGUGAAUUUUGAACUAAUAAAGAUUUAAUCUCUCAGUCAUGAGACUGCAUUUGUUAGGAAAACACACAUAUCCCUGAGAAUGCAGCUACGGUUGCUAUACUACAGACUGCUCAGCAGCUUGCUGGGCAUUUUUCCAAAUCCAUUUAUUUUUAACAUCAGUCACAUUAUUCAAUUAAUUAUAAAAACACUGAGGUUUUCAAGAGAUGUUUCUGAUAAAACUGCAAAGUAAAUAUGCGUGAGAACAGCAAGGAUUAAAGUCUCUGUAAACUUUAGCAUCUGAGGCUGUUGCUAUAAACAAGAGCAGUUCUCCAGAAGGUUAUUUACCAGAGUGAAUCAUAGCAGAUAACACAGUCUCCUCCCACACCACACACAGGGAUCGUUUGUCCUUUACCUAGGGAUGGAAGCAGAGCAUCCACAUGUCUGUCAGCCCUGUGCUGGGGCAUGAGAGGGGUGAGAACUGGGCUGGAUUCUUCAGAUGCCUCUGGUAUUUCAGCAUCAUAGCUUGGUAAAUACCAAAUAUUUAGAAGGCUCAGCUCUUUCCCAAUAACCUGCAAACACAAUUCAAAAAAUACCAGCCCAUCUCCAGCAAUGCCUCAAAGCCUUGAAAACAUCAGAGAAGAAUUGAUGGAAGGAUUCAAGCCUCACCUGUAACAGCAGCCUGUAAACCUGCUGUUUCCUGGCAACUCCUGGUAUGUCCUGUGAUAGCUUCACUGUACCAAUACAAAAUGUUUUCCCAGUCCAAA